ACCAUGCCAACCCCCAUGAGUGCCUCCUAUGUUGCCUCUGCCACCACCACUUGCUGUGACUGAGCCUCGGUGAAGGAGAGCGCUGAGCAUCGGGAGGAAGACGGAAGAGUAAGCUGAUUCAUCUUCUGUUUGCAGGAACGGUGUUGCAACCCUCCAACAGGGUGUAGUCCUGGUCGGUGUCACAGGCCAUCCAUACUUGUGUGGAUGGACAGGACUUUUACACAGCUGGGGGACAUUCCAGGAUCAGUCAAACUUCAGGAACUGUCUGAUAGGAAGAGAGAGAGGAUUUGUCAAAACCUAAUAAUAUUAAUAACAUACAUGCUGAAUGUAUUAAGUUAUUAAAUGGUUGAAAAAGCUGGCUGGGAAGAGUAAAAGAAUGUUGAGUGGAAAAAAAAUGUCUUUCUUAGAAAAAUACCUAUUAUUAUUAGCUACUUUUAAACAUUAUUACUAGUCUGUUCUUAUCACUAUAACUAAUUAUUACUAUAGAUCUGUGGGAUAGAAACCUUUCUCACAGUAUUUUCCCGUUUAUGGUGAUGGGGAGUGUGUCCACGAACUAUCUGCAUUAUGAAGAAAACAUUACUAUAACACUGAACUAGCAGCAUUCUUGUCUAAUAAACUGUGGUACUGUC